AUACGUAGGGGGCGAGCGUUGUCCGGAAUUAUUGGGCGUAAAGGGCGUGUAGACGGUCAUAUAAGUUACAGGUGAAAGCCCAUUUUUCAAGGAUGGAACUGCCUGUAAGACUGUAAGACUUGAGUGCAGGAGAGGGAAGCGGAAUUCCAAGUGUAGCGGUGAAAUGCGUAGAUAUUUGGAGGAACACCAGUGGCGAAGGCGGCUUUCUGGACUGCAACUGACGUUGAGGCGCGAAAGCGUGGGGAGCGAACAGGAUUAGAUACCCUGGUAGUCCACGCUGUAAACGAUGGAUGCUAGGUGUGGGGGGUAUCGACCCCCUCCGUGCCGGAGUUAACGCAAUAAGCAUCCCGCCUGGGGAGUACGGCCGCAAGGUUGAAACUCAAAGGAAUUGACGGGG
rnacentral:rRNA from 1 species